rnacentral:rRNA from 1 species
AACGAACGCUGGCGGCAGGCCUAACACAUGCAAGUCGAACGCCGUAGCAAUACGGAGUGGCAGACGGGUGAGUAACGCGUGGGAACAUGCCCUUUGGUUCGGAAUAACUCAGGGAAACUUGAGCUAAUACCGGAUAAGCCCGAGAGGGGAAAGAUUUAUCGCCGAAGGAUUGGCCCGCGUCCGAUUAGCUAGUUGGUGAGGUAACGGCUCACCAAGGCGACGAUCGGUAGCUGGUCUGAGAGGAUGAUCAGCCACACUGGGACUGAGACACGGCCCAGACUCCUACGGGAGGCAGCAGUGGGGAAUAUUGGACAAUGGGCGCAAGCCUGAUCCAGCCAUGCCGCGUGAGUGAUGAAGGCCCUAGGGUUGUAAAGCUCUUUCGCCAGGGACGAUAAUGACGGUACCUGGAUAAGAAGCCCCGGCUAACUUCGUGCCAGCAGCCGCCGCCGUAA